AGUGUGGGACUACAGGUCGUGGAAGGAGGUGCUACACCGCGCGGUGCUUCUCGUUGUGUUUCUCCCAGACAGGACCACUAAGCUCUUCACCAGUGCGAUUAUUACUGACCCUCGCCUGUACCUGCACACCAGGACUGUUUACCUCCAUGCCUAGUGGUUCUAAUACCCCUCGUCUCGAGCCUUCAAUAAAAGACCACUUACCUACAUGCUCGUGUUACCAUUAAUAACUUCCUGUACCUCGAAAAACCUAGUGGUGCUAAUACGUUCAUUUGAGUCUCCUAAAUAAGACUAUUUACCUCGUUUGCGACCAGUAAUAAUUUAUUUACGAGGACUCCUUCAAAGCCAUUAUUAUUUCAUCGCCUUUGGUGCUAAAGCCUUUGUGUAAACCACCGAACCAGAACUUACUGCCAGGCUCGUACAGACGCAGAAAACGUUUGAGCCUGCCACAUACAAGGAUCUGGGCAGUGUGGUUGCAACUCCUCAGCCAAGCACCAAGGUGUUUACCUCGGGGCCCUGGGAUACAGCCUUCACCAUACCGACAACCUUCUCCACCAUACCAGUCACCAACUCACCUGCCAACAUUACUUCCUACAACAUCAUUCCACCCACCAUGCGAGCUGCAGCGUGGGUGAGUCAGAUCCCUGAAGCCAAGGAUGGUGGAGCAUCCGACCUCCUCCACCACCUGCCUCUCCUCCGACCCUCCAACACUGAGGCCAAGCUGCAGUAUCUCUCCAUCAUCCCCAAGGUAUUGGCACAUACAGUUACAUCAGCUGGGACCCAGCCGUCUGCAUUGGAAAAUGCUCGUCAGCUUCUCAGUUACUCCCUCAUCCACCCGGCCAUCACUGCGGAGGAGCGGCGAGCACUUGCACACUGGCUGCGGACACUGGAAGACAGACUGGCAGAACUCCGGAGACGCCCGCCCAACCUACAACGAGAAGGUUUCAGCAGCAGCAGCAACAACAGCAUUAGCUCAGGGAACAACAGCCUUGCAACUGGCAAGCCCAGAUGGAGUGAGCCACCUCUUAUACCACCUCCAGACACUGGCCAGGACAGGACGUUGCGCUCUCCUUCUCUGUCUGCUUGGGAUAGGACGUUGAGCUCCCCUUCUCUGGCUUCUUGGGAUGAUGUUGGUUGGUGUAGCGGAGCAACUGCAGCAGGCGGAACUCCUGGAGAAGCACCCCAGUCCCCUAACAACUCGGCAACCUCCUCACGAUCUUCUGGUUGUGAUUCCAACCUAGAAGAACCUUGCCAGCCACAUCCUGGUAUGAGAGAUGUUGGAGUGUGGCUUAAGUCUCUACGUCUGCACAAAUACUCACCAUUGCUCUGUAGUUUAACUUAUGAUGAGCUGCUGACCUUAGAUGAGGCAACGCUGGAAAGUCAGGGAGUUACCAAAGGAGCACGGCACAAAAUUGUCCUGUCUAUUAAUAAGCUAAAGGAACGCCACAAGCAAUUAGUUCAAAUUGAAAAGGAAGUGAUGAAUGGUGGUCACUUAUUAUCUUGCCUCAACGAACUCAAAUCAAUAAUCCUUACCCCGUUCCCACCUUAUGAGCCUCCAAGUGAUUCCUCUCAACCCACUCAGCAAAAUCUGCAGAAGCAGCCUCCCAUCUUGUCUCCUCCUGAAGCAGCAUCCACACCACCAGCCUCCACAAUGUCUUCCUCCACUUCAAAUUCCACUCUCUCUCCGUCUUGCUCUACUUCCUCCACUUCGACCACCACUGCCUCCUCUGCCUCCUCGUUAUCAGCUUCCACUUCUUCAUCUGCCUGUUCUUUGAGAGGGGAAGACAGAGAACUUCUGAAAGAUGAUAGAGUUGAAGCACCAAGAACUUCUCUAGAGGCAGAUAGUGGCAGCACCAUCCCAGAAGAUGAUCUGCCUUCUCAGUUUACACGGGUCAUGGGCAAAGUAUGUACGCAGCUGCUGGUUAGUGUAAGACCAGAAGAUGAGUGUGUUACUGCUUUCUUAGGAUUAGUAGAGAAAUGUGUCAACCACGAGGCAUUUACCCCAACUCAAGCACGCAGAUUACACUCUUGGAAGCAACAGAUUAUCCGUGUUUGGCAUCCUCUUCCACCUAAAACUAAAGAUAGCCGCCACAAUCGCAGAUGGAGUCAGCAGUACACUGGUGAUGGAUUCCUUGGUGGAUCCUUCAGAGUUCCUCGUGUUGGCAACCAGCGUCACACACACAUGUCAGCAGGGCUCCUUGUAGGGGGUAAGGGUUUCCCUACACCCCAGCCACAUACUCUCUUUCCUUUACCCCCUGCUGCUGCCGCUGCCGCUGCUGCUGCUGCUGCAGCCGCUAGUCUUGGAGGGCUGAUGAGUCCACGUAAUAGUUUACCUGGCCUCCCUUCACUUGGUGUAGGAGGGCUCCUCUCUCCACAGCAGUUCCUUGCGAAACGACCAUCACUUCAAGAAACUCCUUCUGAGUUGCGGCCGCACAUCACUUUACAGCGAACAAGAUCAGCACCAUCCCGUCCUCACCAGUUGCCACUCACUGGUCCUGCUCGCUCUGUGGCUCCUCCCACUACAUCCUCCUCUCUUGCCCCAGGGAGUGGUGGCUGUGGCGAACUACGACUCUCUGGUGGCUCAGGGGCUUCAGGAUCAGUAUUGGAACCUCAUUUUUCUCCUGCAGCCUCAUACUCACAUUUGGGAGUCCCUCCUUCAUCGCCAGAUCCAGCGGAUAAUGAUAUUACUGACCGUUUGGAAUCACUUUGUCUCUCUGUCACUGAACAUGCUCUGGGUUGAGCUGACAUCUGCUGCUACCACUUAUUGUAGUUCUCCAUCCACAUCAUAUCCAUACUGAAGAGGCACUGGUCAUGUUCUUAGAACUGUUGCAGUCUGUGGAAAUCCUUGAAAUGUGGCCCCUUAAACAGCAGUAUUUUACAUACUUCUUCACAUAAAACGUGUGUCUGCACUUUGAUGGGUGCCGCAUUGUGUGCACAGACACAACAUCUCUUCUGAGCCCAUUUCUUCUUUUCUGUAGCAGGAAGUGUUGUAAGGAAGUGAUCACCAAACUUCACACAAGAGGAUAUUUGGUGAUUAUCUGACGUCAUCAGCAUCACUUUCGGUCAUUAUGUUAUUGAAACCAAAGAACUUGCCAUCAGUUUCAUAAUUAUCAUUGUUGGAGCUAUCGAUGGGGAACAAAACUUGUUCAGUUUGCCUUUAUAUCCAUGUUGCAUGGUGAACAAGGUGUACUAAGUAUGGGGUUCCCACAGUGCACUGUGGGGGGCCCCAAUUUUUAUGUAUAAUAUUAAUACUGACUGUGCAGACCCAUUCUCUCAUAUGUAGACCUACCAGGCCUCUCCCACCAAAUUAGAAUUUAUGUGUAGAUUUAUGUGAGGGACCCUGGCAUCAGUAACGGCCACUGAAAGGGUUUAAAAAGUGUUUGCGAGCUUCAAGUAAUGUGUUGAGAUUUUCAUUAUACAGUCAUACACGUGUAUUUUUCAAGGAAUGUGCUUGCCUUGGUUCUACCAUAAAAUAUAUAGUUUUUGCCAAGGUCAAGACUCUCAGUAAAGUGCUUUGUGCAACUUAGUUUAGUUUUGUAACCAAAAAUUUUGUUGAACUCCUCAUUGAGACACUCAGGACAAUGCAUCCUCAAUGCCCUUCAGAAACAUUGCUGAAAAAAUGGCUCCGUUUAACCCUCUUCUCAUGUUUUGAGAAAUAGUUUAUACUGUAUAGGAAUAAAUGUGUGUAGUCUUACCAAAGGUAUUUAAUUUAAAUUUGCUGUCACUUUUGUGUAUCAAAACAUCUUAAAUUGAUAGUUCACCUAAUGUUUCAUUGGGAUGGAUAAAUUCUAAUACUGACUAUGGGUCAUUUUAUUUGAUUAUGUAUUGAAAAGAUGAUGAGCUAUAUCACUCUUAUUUUAAAGGACCCACUUAAAAUAAUGAUUCAGAUUGCUUAUAUGUAACUUUGAUUUUGAGGUGUAAUUCUUGGGUGAGUUAACAUGACCACUAACAUGAAUGAUUAUAUAUAUAGUGAAGAACAAACAUUUGUAUGCAUGUCAUCUAAAAAUUAAGAACCUAUCUUUCUUAGUAAUAAUUACAAUAAUAAUUGAAGCAACCUUGUUUAAUAAUGCAUUCUUGAGUAAAAUUAUUCUAAACUGAAGUUUAAGUGUUGAAUACCCAUAUGGGUUUAGUGGUUAAAUUGAUUAUGUUCUUAUUAGGUAUGGAAUAUUUGGCCAUGGAUUUGACUGUCAACUAUUGAAACAUGUGUACAUACAUAUGUGUGUGUGUGUGUAUGCAUGUGUAUAUGUGCAUGCUUGUGUGUGUGCAUGCAUGUGUAUAUGUGCAUGCUUGUGUGUGUGCAUGCAUGUAUGUAUGUUUUUUAACACACCAACCAUCUCCCACCGAAAAAGACCAGAAAAAGAAGAAACACUUCCACCUUCUUUCACUCUAUUACUGUUAUGUCAAAAGUAUGCUAAUACUAUAGUUCAGAUGCCCCUCCAAACUCCAUAUAUCCCUACCCCUCCUUCAGAGUGCAGGCACUGUACUUUCCACCUCCAGGACUCUGAAUCCUACUAACUGGCUUUCCUGAAUCCCUUCUCAAAUAUUACCAUGCUCACACUCCAACAGCUCAUUAAGUCCCAAAAGCUAUUUUCCUCCACUCCCAUCUAACACAUUAACACACACCUGCUGGAUGUCCAUCCCCUUGCACACAAAACCUUCUUUACCUCUCCUUACAACCUGUCCUAGGGCAACCCCUACCUUGCCUUCCCUCCAAUACAGGUUUAUACACCCUUCAAUUCAUCCUAAUUUUCUCUAUCCUCUCUAAAUGUCCAAAUCACCUCACCAACCCCUCCUUAGCCCUUUGGAUAAUACUUUUAGUAACCCUGUACCUCCUAAUUCUAUUCUAUGAAUCUAUCUUUCUUUCAACACACCGGCCGUAUCCCACCAAGGCAGGGUGGCCCAAAAAUAAAAUGAAAGUUUCUCUUUUAAAUUUAGUAAUUUAUACAGGAGAAGGGGUUACUAGCCCCUUGCUCCCGGCAUUUUAGUUGCCUCUUACAACACGCAUGGCUUACGGAGGAAGAAUUCUGUUCCACUUCCCCAUGGAGGUAAGAGGAAAUAAACAAGAAGAAGAACUAGAAAGAAAAUAGAAGAAUACCCAGAGGGGUGUGUAUAUAUAUGCUUGUUCAUGUAUGUGUAGUGUGACCUAAGUGUAAGUAGAAGUAGCAAGACGUACCUGAAAUCUUGCAUGUUUAUGAGACAGACAAAAGACACCAGCAAUCCUACCAUCAUGUAAAAUAAUUACAGGUUUUCGUUGUACACUCACUUGGCAGGACGGUAGUACCUCCCUGGGCGGUUGCUGUUUACCAACCUACUACCUAGGUAAUCUAUGAAUACUUUUCAUAAUAGCUAUGAAUAGGUAAAACUUGCGAUUUUGGCUUAAAUAGCAAUGCUCUUCUUCAGAAUAAGACAAGUGAAAAUUUGUGUAUACAAUAAUUUUGCAGAAAUCAUUCUGAGCCUAAUGAAAAAAAUAUAUUUCAUUGUGUUUGUUUAUUAUUAAAUUAUUGUAAACUUAUCUAAAAUAUAUUUAGUUGGAUUAGGCCUAAUUAAAUUGCACUCAUUAUAAUAAGUUAGGUAAGUUUUCUAAGGUUCUUUUGGUACAAAAUUAUUAA